AUUGAACGCUGGCGGCAGGCCUAACACAUGCAAGUCGAGCGGAUGACGGGAGCUUGCUCCUGGAUUCAGCGGCGGACGGGUGAGUAAUGCCUAGGCAUUUGCCCGGUAGUGGGGGAUAACGUCCGGAAAUGGGCGCUAAUACCGCAUACGUCCUGAGGGCGAAAGCUGGUGAUCUUCGCACCUCACGCAAUCAGAUGAGCCUAGGUCGGAUUAGCUAGUUGGUGGGGUAAAGGCCUACCAAGGCGACGAUCCGUAACUGGUCUGAGAUGAGGAUCAGUCACACUGGAACGGAGACACGAUACAGACUACUACGGUAGGCGAGGGAGGAGAAUAUAAGACUAUGGGCGAAAGGCUGAACCAGCCAAGCCGCGUGUGGGAAGAAGGUCUUGGGAUUGUAAAUCUCUUUAAGUUGGGAGAAAGGGCAGUAAGUUAAUACCGUACUUUUUUGACGUUACCAAAAGAAUAAGCACCGGCUAACUUCGUG
rnacentral:rRNA from 1 species